rnacentral:rRNA from 1 species
UAGGGAAUCUUCGGCAAUGGGCGAAAGCCUGACCGAGCAACGCCGCGUGAAUGAUGAAGGCCUUCGGGUUGUAAAAUUCUGUUAUAAGGGAAGAACGACUUUAGUAGGAAAUGGCUAGAGUGUGACGGUACCUUAUGAGAAAGCCACGGCUAACUACGUGCCAGCAGCCGCGGUAAUACGUAGGUGGCGAGCGUUAUCCGGAAUUAUUGGGCGUAAAGAGCGCGCAGGUGGUUGAUUAAGUCUGAUGUGAAAGCCCACGGCUUAACCGUGGAGGGUCAUUGGAAACUGGUCGACUUGAGUGCAGAAGAGGGAAGUGGAAUUCCAUGUGUAGCGGUGAAAUGCGUAGAGAUAUGGAGGAACACCAGUGGCGAAGGCGGCUUCCUGGUCUGUAACUGACACUGAGGCGCGAAAGCGUGGGGAGCAAACAGGAUUAGAAACCCUUGUAG